GCCGGUAUAGCUCAGUGGUACAGUGUGCACUUAGCAUGCAUGAGGUCCUGGGUUCAAUCCCCAGUACCACCC
rfam:Camelus ferus unplaced genomic scaffold scaffold1538, whole genome shotgun sequence.